rnacentral:rRNA from 1 species
AAUGCAGUCGAGCGGACAGAUGGGAGCUUGCUCCCUGAUGUUAGCGGCGGACGGGUGAGUAACACGUGGGUAACCUGCCUGUAAGACUGGGAUAACUCCGGGAAACCGGGGCUAAUACCGGAUGGUUGUUUGAACCGCAUGGUUCAAACAUAAAAGGUGGCUUCGGCUACCACUUACAGAUGGACCCGCGGCGCAUUAGCUAGUUGGUGAGGUAACGGCUCACCAAGGCAACGAUGCGUAGCCGACCUGAGAGGGUGAUCGGCCACACUGGGACUGAGACACGGCCCAGACUCCUACGGGAGGCAGCAGUAGGGAAUCUUCCGCAAUGGACGAAAGUCUGACGGAGCAACGCCGCGUGAGUGAUGAAGGUUUUCGGAUCGUAAAGCUCUGUUGUUAGGGAAGAACAAGUACCGUUCGAAUAGGGCGGUACCUUGACGGUACCUAACCAGAAAGCCACGGCUAACUACGUGCCAGCAGCCGCGGUAAUACGUAGGUGGCAAGCGUUGUCCGGAAUUAUUGGGCGUAAAGGGCUCGCAGGCGGUUUCUUAAGUCUGAUGUGAAAGCCCCCGGCUCAACCGGGGAGGGUCAUUGGAAACUGGGGAACUUGAGUGCAGAAGAGGAGAGUGGAAUUCCACGUGUAGCGGUGAAAUGCGUAGAGAUGUGGAGGAACACCAGUGGCGAAGGCGACUCUCUGGUCUGUAACUGACGCUGAGGAGCGAAAGCGUGGGGAGCGAACAGGAUUAGAUACCCUGGUAGUCCACGCCGUAAACGAUGAGUGCUAAGUGUUAGGGGGUUUCCGCCCCUUAGUGCUGCAGCUAACGCAUUAAGCACUCCGCCUGGGGAGUACGGUCGCAAGACUGAAACUCAAAG